GGGCCCGCACAAGCGGUGGAGCAUGUGGUUUAAUUCGAAGCAACGCGAAGAACCUUACCAGGUCUUGACAUCCAGUGACAACCCAAGAGAUUGGGCUUUCCCUUCGGGGACACUGAGACAGGUGGUGCAUGGUUGUCGUCAGCUCGUGUCGUGAGAUGUUGGGUUAAGUCCCGCAACGAGCGCAACCCUUAUUACUAGUUGCCAGCAUUAAGUUGGGCACUCUAGUGAGACUGCCGGUGACAAACCGGAGGAAGGUGGGGAUGACGUCAAAUCAUCAUGCCCCUUAUGACCUGGGCUACACACGUGCUACAAUGGGCGGUACAACGAGUUGCGAACUCGCGAGAGCAAGCUAAUCUCUAAAAACCGUUCUCAGUUCGGAUUGUAGGCUGCAACUCGCCUACAUGAAGCUGGAAUCGCUAGUAAUCGUGGAUCAGCAUGCCACGGUGAAUACG
rnacentral:rRNA from 1 species